rnacentral:rRNA from 1 species
GACGAACGCUGGCGGCGUGCCUAAUACAUGCAAGUCGAACGCAGUGGGGACGGGUGAGUAACACGUGGGUAACCUCCCAUCAGAGGGGAUAACACUUGGAAACAGGUGCUAAACCGAUACUGAUGGAUGGAACCGCGGUGCAUUAGCUAGUUGGUGAGGUAACGGCUCACCAAGGCCACGAUGCAUAGCUGGCCUGAGAGGAGGAUCUGCCAAACGGGAACUGAGACACGGCCCAGACUCCUACGGGAGGCAGCAGUAGGGAAUCUUGGGCAAUGGACGAAAGUCUGACCGAGCAACGCCGCGUGAGUGAAGAAGGUUUUCGGGUCGUAAAACACUGUUGUUAGAGAGGCGGUAUCUAACGAGAAAGCAACGGCUAACUACGUGCCAGCAGCCGCGGUAAUUC